rnacentral:rRNA from 1 species
AUUCAUGCAGUCGAGCGGACAGAUGGGAGCUUGCUCCCUGAUGUUAGCGGCGGACGGGUGAGUAACACGUGGGUAACCUGCCUGUAAGACUGGGAUAACUCCGGGAAACCGGGGCUAAUACCGGAUGCUUGUUUGAACCGCAUGGUUCAGACAUAAAAGGUGGCUUCGGCUACCACUUACAGAUGGACCCGCGGCGCAUUAGCUAGUUGGUGAGGUAACGGCUCACCAAGGCGACGAUGCGUAGCCGACCUGAGAGGGUGAUCGGCCACACUGGGACUGAGACACGGCCCAGACUCCUACGGGAGGCAGCAGUAGGGAAUCUUCCGCAAUGGACGAAAGUCUGACGGAGCAACGCCGCGUGAGUGAUGAAGGUUUUCGGAUCGUAAAGCUCUGUUGUUAGGGAAGAACAAGUGCCGUUCAAAUAGGGCGGCACCUUGACGGUACCUAACCAGAAAGCCACGGCUAACUACGUGCCAGCAGCCGCGGUAAUACGUAGGUGGCAAGCGUUGUCCGGAAUUAUUGGGCGUAAAGGGCUCGCAGGCGGUUUCUUAAGUCUGAUGUGAAAGCCCCCGGCUCAACCGGGGAGGGUCAUUGGAAACUGGGGAACUUGAGUGCAGAAGAGGAGAGUGGAAUUCCACGUGUAGCGGUGAAAUGCGUAGAGAUGUGGAGGAACACCAGUGGCGAAGGCGACUCUCUGGUCUGUAACUGACGCUGAGGAGCGAAAGCGUGGGGAGCGAACAGGAUUAGAUACCCUGGUAGUCCACGCCGUAAACGAUGAGUGCUAAGUGUUAGGGGGUUUCCGCCCCUUAGUGCUGCAGCUAACGCAUUAAGCACUCCGCCUGGGGAGUACGGUCGCAAGACUGAAACUCAAAGGAAUUGACGGGGGCCCGCACAAGCGGUGGAGCAUGUGGUUUAAUUCGAAGCAACGCGAAGAACCUUACCAGGUCUUGACAUCCUCUGACAAUCCUAGAGAUAGGACGUCCCCUUCGGGGCAGAGUGACAGGUGGUGCAUGGUUGUCGUCACCUCCUGUCCUGAAAUGUUGGGUUAAGUCCCGCAACGACCGCAACCCUUGAUCUUAUUUGCCAGCAUUCAGUUGGGCACUUUAAGGGAA